UACGUAGGGUGCGAGCGUUGUCCGGAAUUAUUGGGCGUAAAGGGCUCGUAGGCGGUUUGUCGCGUCGGGAGUGAAAUCCACUGGCUUAACUGGUGGCUUGCUUUCGAUACGGGCAGACUGGAGGUAUGCAGGGGAGAACGGAAUUCCUGGUGUAGCGGUGAAAAUGCGCAGAUAUCAGGAGGAACACCGGUGGCGAAGGCGGUUCUCUGGGCAUUACCUGACGCUGAGGAGCGAAAGUGUGGGGAGCGAACAGG
rnacentral:rRNA from 1 species